rnacentral:rRNA from 1 species
UACAGAGGGGGCAAGCGUUGUUCGGAAUUACUGGGCGUAAAGGGCGCGUAGGCGGCCUGCUAAGUCGGAUGUGAAAUCCCCAGGCUUAACCUGGGAACUGCAUCCGAUACUGGAUGGCUUGAAUCCGGGAGAGGGAUGCAGAAUUCCAGGUGUAGCGGUGAAAUGCGUAGAUAUCUGGAGGAAUACCGGUGGCGAAGGCGGCAUCCUGGACCGGCAUUGACGCUGAGUGAGCGAAAGCCAGGGGAGCAAACGGG